GGUUAGAGAUAGUGAAAUCCAAAACUCUCUCCCUCCUUCAAGAGAGAUCGUGAACGGUAAUGGUGGUGCGGCCGAUUCCUCUCCUCCGAUCGACAACAACAACUAACAUUGCCUUCUUCUCUUUUCAUCACAAAUGGCAGCGCGACCUCCAUCUCCAGCGAUAUCUCCUUUUCGUCUUCGUUUGAUCCUCUCCGUCUCCGAUUUUUUCGAUUCAUGUUAGUUUUUGUUCAACAUCAUGUUUUAGUAACCUAAUUUGUUUGAUUUUACAGAGAUUAACGCAAAUUCUAAAAGGGAAAACGAAACCCUAGUUGUAAGCAGAAUAGGGUUCGAGAAGAAGAAAGUCGCACUGAAGAGAGAACUAAGGGAUUGGGUAGCGCGCCAUCUCCCGUGUACGAUUCUUCUCCCCAACCUUCACCUUUCUCUUUUCUCUGCGUACAAAUCUAACCCUUCUUCGCCUUUUUCGUCGAAUUUGCCUUUGAUUUUUGGACAUCAUUCCGGUUUCUCUAAUGAGUCUGCUACUCCUCCUAAACCUCAUAGGAAAGAGCCCAAGACACCCCACAAGGUUUUGGAUGUGCCUUAUGAUGGUGUUUGUUCUGUCCAGUGGACCAAGGAGGGUUCUUUCAUAUCUAUUGGUAUAAACCUUGGUCAAGUUCAGGGGUGUCUGGAAUCGAGAAAUAUUCGUGCGUGAUUGAUAUGAAGUGCAGUAGUCACAAAGGGUUUUCUGAGAAUUCACAAGGUGAGAGGAUUUGUAGGAUUUGUCAUUUGGCUUUUGGACCUGCGUUAGAUGCAGCAAUUGUCGAAAGUGCGAGCGUUACGAGUGGAGAUUUUAUUCAACUUGGUUGCGUGUGUAUAGACGAGCUCGGCAUUGCUCAUGUUUAUUAUGCUGAAGUGUGGUUCAAGCUAAAGGGAAACAGGAUCAGGCUUCCAAUGUUGACGUUCUUCUAACUGAUGCUAAUGGUGUUUUUCAAUCAAUCAAGGAUUAGCUCUCGAAGCUCUUAGUGGAGUGUUUUCACUUGCAUCUUCUGAAAUCGAUCAGAGUAAGGUCAAUAUAGUAAAAACUGGCAUAGUGAAGCUAUUUGACAGCAUCGAGAAAUAUGGUAUGUGGAGCCUUUUGCUUUUAACUCAUUCUAAGUGAUAGAUAUUCAUGACUGUUUAUAAACUUUGAAUUAUCUUGCAUGGAUUUAGUAGCAAUAAUGUCAUGUUUGUUGCAUUUUAUUUCAUUCCAUCUUGUUUCUUAUUUGGUUUACUUUGGAAGGAGGGGGGAUUAAAAGUUAAUUAUGUUACAGUCACCUCCUUAAGAUCUAAGGUGAUAAUGUGUGACUGCAAGUGUAAUAGGACCUUAUAGUGUGUGACUGCAAGUAUACUAGAAUUGAUGGUUUCUCUUAAGUAAGAUCGGACGGUGGUGAUGGCCUAAAACUCUCAGCGUUUGAUGUUGCUUCCACAAUACUUCAGGAAGUUGCUUCUGCUUUACAUUCUAUCGGCAUUCAAGUAGAACAGUUACAUGCAGAAGCGGGUAAAAGUCAAUUUGAGUUGGUUUUAGAGAUGUCAGUACUAUAGUGGUUGCCAUGCUCCUUGGAAGUAUG